rnacentral:sRNA from 1 species
CCACCUGGACGUCAAAUGAUUGCCAUCAGAAAGAGACAACUUGAAGAAACCAACAAUGACUAUGAAACAGCUGAUGGCGGCUACAUGACUCUCAACCCCAGGGCACCUACUGACGAUGAUAAAAACAUCUACCUGACUCUUCCUCCCAAUGACCAUGUCAACAGGCUUUAUUGAUUGGGGUGUAGACCGAACUAUCUGGGGUCUGUUUCUUUUCGGUGAUGAAAGUCUUGAGAAGCAAAUAAAACACUCACUUUGUUUUGGAACACAAGUUCUCAGAAAGGCAAACUUCAGGUGAGUCGUCAGUGGAGACUGCUGACUUCCUGCACUGCUAUUUUCCCAGUGCAGUUACCAGAAGGAUGUGACCUUCUCAGAGAAGUCAUUCCAGGCAGAUUAGAACAUGACCGACAGUCUCCUUGAUGGUUUGUACAGCUGAUCUCUCAAGCAGCAAACUCUACCAGCUGUCACUGGUGCUCUCGGAGAGAGGAUUAACCAAGAAACUCAGCCCAGGAACAGUACUGACCUCUACUUCUGGACUCCUGCCUCCCUCUUAAAAAGUCCCUUGAACUUCCUAGUGGGUUCUAACCUGUCAAAGGAGAAAAUAGCCACCUAUGGAGUAAGGGUUUUUAGUUUCUCCUUUUACAAAUGGAAGUUUCCUUUGAAUCAGGCAAGUAACGUUAAAUAGAAGCCAACUUUUAAGUUUCUCUAACACACUGCUAAAUUAUAACACC